rnacentral:sRNA from 1 species
GCUCCACGCCGCCAAUAGACUCAAAAAUUCUACGACGACGAGAGAAAAAAUGGAUUCAAAUGCUCGACAACUGGCGGUACUUCAUGGAUGAAAAAUUUGAAUUAGUGAAGAAUCGAUGUCGAAAAGGGAUUCCGCCGAGCCUACGAGGCCGGGCGUGGAAAUAUUUAAGCGGUGCCACGUACCAGAUGGAAGUAUCUUCAAAUCGAUUUGUUUUUGAU